AACGCUGGCGGCGUGCUUAACACAUGCAAGUCGAGCGAUGAAGCUCCUUCGGGAGUGGAUUAGCGGCGGACGGGUGAGUAACACGUGGGUAACCUGCCUCAUAGAGGGGAAUAGCCUUUCGAAAGGAAGAUUAAUACCGCAUAAGAUUGUAGUACCGCAUGGUACAGCAAUUAAAGGAGUAAUCCGCUAUGAGAUGGACCCGCGUCGCAUUAGCUAGUUGGUGAGGUAACGGCUCACCAAGGCGACGAUGCGUAGCCGACCUGAGAGGGUGAUCGGCCACAUUGGGACUGAGACACGGCCCAGACUCCUACGGGAGGCAGCAGUGGGGAAUAUUGCACAAUGGGGGAAACCCUGAUGCAAGCAACGCCGCGUGAGUGAUGACGGUCUUCGGAUUGUAAAGCUCUGUCUUUAGGGACGAUAAUGACGGUACCCAAGGAGGAAGCCACGGCUAACUACGUGCCAGCAGCCGC
rnacentral:rRNA from 1 species